UGGGGAAUUUUGGACAAUGGGCGCAAGCCUGAUCCAGCAAUGCCGCGUGUGUGAAGAAGGCCUUCGGGUUGUAAAGCACUUUUGUCCGGAAAGAAAUCCGUCUGGCUAAUACCCGGACGGGAUGACGGUACCGGAAGAAUAAGCACCGGCUAACUACGUGCCAGCAGCCGCGGUAAUACGUAGGGUGCGAGCGUUAAUCGGAAUUACUGGGCGUAAAGCGUGCGCAGGCGGCUUUGUAAGACAGAUGUGAAAUCCCCGGGCUCAAACUGGGAACUGCAUUUUGGACUGCAAGGCUAGAGUGCGUCAGAGGGAGGUGGAAUUCCGCGUGUAGCAGUGAAAUGCGUAGAGAUGCGGAGGAAUAGCGAUGGCGACGGCAGCCUCCUGGGAUGACACUG
rnacentral:rRNA from 1 species